AUUGAACGCUGGCGGUAGGCCUAACACAUGCAAGUCGAACGGUAACGGACCGCUGGGAUUCCUUCGGGAUGACCUUGGUGCCGACGAGUGGCGGACGGGUGAGUAACACGUAGGAAUCUGCCAAACAGUGGGGGACAACCCGGAGAAAUCCGGGCUAAUACCGCAUACGCCCUACGGGGGAAAGCGGGGGACCUUCGGGCCUCGCGCUGUUUGAGGAGCCUGCGUCGGAUUAGCUUGUUGGUGAGGUAAAGGCUCACCAAGGCGACGAUCCGUAGCUGGUCUGAGAGGAUGAUCAGCCACACUGGGACUGAGACACGGCCCAGACUCCUACGGGAGGCAGCAGUGGGGAAUAUUGCACAAUGGGCGAAAGCCUGAUGCAGCUAUACCGCGUGGGUGAAGAAGGCCUUAGGGUUGUAAAGCCCUUUCAGCAGGGAAGAAAGGUACGGAGUUAAUAGCUCCGUAAUUUGACGGUACCUGAAUAAGAAGCACCGGCUAACUCCGUGCCAGCAGCCGCGGUAAUACGGAGGGUGCAAGCGUUAAUCGGAAUUACUGGGCGUAAAGCGCGCGUAGGCGGUCUAGUCAGUCAGAUGUGAAAGCCCCGGGCUCAACCUGGGAAUUGCAUUUGAAACUGCUGGACUAGAGUGUGGUAGAGGGAAGUGGAAUUCCGAGUGUAGCGGUGAAAUGCGUAGAGAUUCGGAGGAACAUCAGUGGCGAAGGCGACUUCCUGGACCAACACUGACGCUGAGGUGCGAAAGCGGGGGGAGCAAACAGGAUUAGAUACCCUGGUAGUCCACGCCGUAAACGAUGUCUACUAGCCGUCGGGGAGCUUGACUCCUUGGUGGCGCAGCUAACGCGAUAAGUAGACCGCCUGGGGAGUACGGCCGCAAGGCUAAAACUCAAAGGAAUUGACGG
rnacentral:rRNA from 1 species